GUUGAUGCAACAAAUACUGUCUAUGGAUGCAACAUUGACCUCAGGCUGGUGGAGUGAAGCUGGUCUACUUUUAAAGGGAGCAAGAACUAAAGCAGACUGAGGAUGUAGAGAUAAACAAGCUUAAGGAAAGAAUGAAACCAACAGCAACUGCAGGUUAAACAGUGUGAUAAGCUCCCGGGAAAUCGGAGGUGAGAUUCAGUCAUCACCUCGGUCCUUCACACUCUUUCAAGUAAGAUGAAAAUAUAAAGUUGAACAAUUUUAUGAGGUUAGAUCAAUCUUUUGUUUAGUCUCUUGUUCCAGUCCUGGUUAAUCUGCAUUACAGACAUUAUAAUGCCAUCACAUUUGUUUCUUUAUACAUGUUCUUAUAAUAUCUUAAUGCUCUUUAUAGUCUUUGCACUUGUUUUAAAGAAACAUGGUUUAUAAACUUUAGCCCUGCAGAUCAAUGCGCCAUAACUCACUAUAUUAGGGACAGUGGGGGAAGAUCAGUUUGGAUCAGGGGAUGGGAGUACAAAGACACAACCAACAUACCAACCAAGAGAAAAAAACAUUUAUAUGAAGGAGACAAGUAACCAUUAUGCGACAAAGAUGAUCAAUAAAAACAAUUACAGAUCCUGAAAAAAUAACACUGGAUGAUUAAUCUUCAAAAUACCAAGGCAAUUGGUUGAGUGCUGUUUCCAUUUAAAGUCUGCGCAAGGCUCGUGAAUAUUGCAGCUGGUAAAGGUGGAUACCAUUUCAACUACUUAAUCCAUAAUAAUACAUCAUAAAUUGUUAGUUAAUUCAUUUUGUUUAUUCAAAAUCUGAAUCUGCAAAGUAACUAAAGUUAUGGAGUGGAGUAGAAAGUACAAUACUGGCUUCCAAAAUGUAGUGAAGCAGAAGUUGCAAUGGAAAUAAAUAAGUAAAGUACCCUCAAAAUUGUACUUAAGUACAGUACUUGAGUACAUGUAUUUAGUUCCACCAGUUUUUUAAUUGUAAGACAUGACCUACAGCCUUGUGAGCUUUAUGGACAAAUAUCAUGAGAUUAUUGUUCUCUCUUCUUGUGCAGAGAGCAAAGAUGAGUAUACAUUUCAAACAGUAGAAAGGGUAUGUACUUGUCUCUGAGUUAAAUAAUAAUAUUUGCAAAUUGCUUACUGGCAAAUAAAUGGUUUAGGGAAAACUGAAGUAUAUCAUAGGCAUGCAGAAACACAGUUGAAAACUCACAAUGAAAGCUACAAGUUCCCUUUUUUCAACAGCUUUGUCUAGGUUAUAUGCAGAUGUUUACUGAAGUGAUAUUUUUUGACUGUCAAAUCUUGUGAAGAGGAAGUUUGGCUGCAGACUACGGUAGACUUCUAGGUCAGUCAAAAAAAAAAAAAAAAAAAAAAAGUAGCACCAUGAGUGGAAAACUCUGCAGGUCUCUCAUUUUUAAUCUAAUUAUCUGACAGUCUACCAGCCUGACGGUCUGAGACUCACACAUCAGUAGUGCGACCAGUGAAUUUCAUGCUCCAGUGAUUGUUUUACAUGAAAAGGGCAUUUUCUGACAUAUUUUCUUCCAUGCCUGUAAUAUUUAAUCAUAAGUUCUGCCUCUCUGCUAAACUGACAAAGUUAAUUUCAUCAUCUUUUCACGCAUAUCACAGCCGCCACAGACAACUUCCUUUUACUCAGCUCGGUGUUCCUGCAACAUGCUGUUUUAUUUUCAUUAGCUGUGAUGUUCUUGUGGCUUUCCACGUUUUAUAGCUCUCAUAAUGUAAAAAAUAUACUGUAUAACUUGUGCCCAAUGUUUUGUUUGUUUUUGUUUAUUCUUGCAAAUUAAGUGUAUCCCAAGGCAAAUUUUUUAUUUAGUUUUUUAAGGCUUUCGCAUUUUGCUUGCACAGCAAAAUCCUCUGAAUCAUAAAAAAGUUAAAAUGUGUAAUAGAUAUUUAAAGACAUACUGACAUAGACAAUUAAGAUGAUUGGAAUUACAACAUAUAUGAAAACGCUUGAAGUGUGAAGAAUGGUUGCAUAAUACACAAAAUUACUUAUAA